rnacentral:lncRNA from 1 species
UUAUUAAUGGCUCUCCUACUAGGAGCCUGACAUCAUGGUGAGCAUCGAGAAAGGAAUAACCUAAGCUGAAGACACGCCUUUUCAGGAGGCCAAGUUCCACGUUCUGUGCAUGCUUUUGGCGAAAGUCAGCAUAUCUGAAGGCCCUGACUCAACAGUAGUGGGUCUUAAUGCUUGUGCUUGUCCACCCUUCUCGGCAGUGAUUGAUUUCAUUGUUGGCUUGUUUUCAUGACUUGAAUGUGCGAUCUUCAGAGGGCCUAAUUCCUUGCAAGUUCCAUUUGAGGGUGGAAGAGCUAGAACAAGCUAUAACCAGUAGACAACUCCGUGACUCAGGAGCUUAAGCAUGUGACUAAUUAGUA